rnacentral:rRNA from 1 species
UACGGGGGGCGAAGCGUUGUUCGGAAUUACUGGGCGUAAAGGGCUCGUAGGCGGCCAACUAAGUCGGACGAGAAAUCCCCAGGCUCAACCUGGGAACUGCAUCCGAUACCUGGAUGGCUUGAUUCGGGAGAGGAUGCAGAAUUCCGAGGUGAUAGACGGUGAAAUGCGAUAGAUAUCUGGAGGAACACCAGUGGCGAAGGCGGACAUCCUGGACCAAUUCGUGACGCUGAGGAGCGAAAGCCAGGGGAGCCAAAGCGGG